rnacentral:rRNA from 1 species
AGUGAACGCUGGCGGUAGGCCUAACACAUGCAAGUCGAACGGCAGCACAGGAGAGCUUGCUCUCUGGGUGGCGAGUGGCGGACGGGUGAGGAAUACAUCGGAAUCUACUCUGUCGUGGGGGAUAACGUAGGGGAACUUACGCUAAUACCGCAUACGACCUACGGGUGAAAGCAGGGGACCUUCGGGCCUUGCGCGAUUGAAUGAGCCGAUGUCGGAUUAGCUAGUUGGCGGGGUAAAGGCCCACCAAGGCGACGAUCCGUAGCUGGUCUGAGAGGAUGAUCAGCCACAAUGGAACUGAGACACGGUCCAGACUCCUACGGGAGGCAGCAGUGGGGAAUAUUGGACAAUGGGCGCAAGCCUGAUCCAGCCAUACCGCGUGGGUGAAGAAGGCCUUCGGGUUGUAAAGCCCUUUUGUUGGGAAAGAAAUCCAGCUGGCUAAUAUCCGGUUGGGAUGACGGUACCCAAAGAAUAAGCACCGGCUAACUUCGUGCCAGCCGCCGCGGUAA